CAGAGAGAGCCUCAGAGAGCCUGGCUGUCCGCACAGAGAGGAGAGGGAAGCUCACACACCGGCUGUGAUGCGUAGCGGGGCUCUGCUGGCUCAACAACACUCGGAUGGGAUAAAACCUCCCGGUGCUCACAUCUAACCGCUCACUGUGCGCGCGCGUGUGUGCCGCGAGGACUGAGACAUGCUCCUGUAGCGCGAGGCGCGAGUGAUAUUAUCGUGUUUGCUGCACAGAAAUAUUUGGCUUGGCCCUAACUUGGAGCCGUGAGGACGCUGAGCAAGUUUUUUUUAUUCACUUGAAUCCCAUUUGAGUCGUUUCACUCGGAGCACCGGGGCGAGAUGGAGACCGAAAAGUACUUACCGGAGCUUAUGGCGGAGAAGGACACGCUGGAUCCGUCUUUUCAGCACUCCCUGCGGCUACUGGAUCAAGAGAUUGAAAAAAUUCAGAAAGACGAGGGGAAGGAAGAGGAGAAGUUCAUUGACGUCGUCAUCAACAAGAACAUGAAACUGGGCCAGAAAGUUUUGAUACCAGUCAAGCAGUUUCCUAAAUUUAACUUUGUCGGCAAACUCCUCGGGCCACGCGGGAACUCGUUAAAGAGACUACAGGAGGACACUCUCACAAAGAUGUCAAUUCUGGGAAAAGGAUCCAUGAGAGACAAAGAAAAGGAGGAAGAGCUACGGCAGAGCGGCGAGGCCAAAUAUCACCACCUGAACGAAGACCUGCACGUCCUCAUCGAGGUGUUCGCCCCGCCAGCUGAGGCCUACGCCAGGAUGGGUCAUGCUCUGGAGGAGAUCAAGAAGUUUCUCAUACCAGAUUACAAUGAUGAGAUCAGACAGGCCCAGCUGCAGGAGCUCACAUACCUGAACGGUGGCUCGGAGGAUGCCAAGGUGCCAUCGGUGAGGGGCAAGUCAGCCGCCCGUGGAAGAGGGACACCUGUUCCAGGGCCUCCUAGGAGUCGAGGAGGAGUUCCUCCCCUGCACGCGGCCGUGCCUCGAGGAGCAGCACCCAGAGGAGCCCCACCCAGCCGCGCUCCAUCUUCCAGAGGGAGAGGGGUUCAGAGAGCCAGAGGCGCCCCCCCAACCGCUGGGUACCGACCGGCUCCUCCAAUCGUUCAGGACACAUACGGCGAAUAUGAAUAUGACGACGGCUACGACCGAGCUUAUGACGACCAAGGAUACGAAUCAUAUGACAACAACUACAGUAAUCAAGGACAGAACUCAGACGACUACUACGAAUAUGGACACAGCGGGGAAUCAUACGAGUCGUAUGGUCUGGAGGAGUGGGCAAACAAUCGUGGCAAGGCACCGCCAGCACGAACAACCAAGGGAGUGUACAGAGAUCAGCCAUACACCAGAUAUUGAACUGUUUAUACAACCCGCACCUGAGUCCUCAUGGCUGUUUCAACCCAAGUCGAUGUCCCGGCUAGCCCAGGCCAUCCGUCCAAGUAUCUCACUGGUGCUAAAGACUUGACAAACCGCACACAAGCUUCCAUCAAACAUUCAAGCCCACACAGUGACAAAACAAAUCCCGAAAAGGCCGUCCCACUUCACAAAGGAUCGCCCUCCCUUUGACCAAACAGUGGACACAUUUUCACAGUCUGGACCGAGGUGACUCCUGCGGGGGAUGAGAUGGACCGACCUGUUGAGACGCAGGAAAUGGGGGGGAAAAGAUAAUGCAUGUAUCGCACAUCGUCAUUCUCGGGAGGAAGGGAGGGACGGAGGAAACCCGUGAGGCAAAUGGAGUUCCUCAUCCUCUGGGACGAUCUGUCGGAGAAUAUUUCCUUCAGAGCCUCUGCGGCUCUGUAUACAUUUUACAUACACACAGGAGUGCUCUGAACUGACUCUGAACCUGCCCUGUGUCUUUCUUAAUUUAGACUGUUGUGGAGAGGAUGUGUCGACCACUCACAUUAGACAACGCCUACCAGGGAGGAAGAGUAAAUAAAUAAUGCAAAUAAUGCUAAGGUAUGACAUCAUACUUCCAGCAAAGACACGUCUAAUUUCAUAUUGUCAUGCUCAUUAACCUAUAUCCCAUCCACUCCAGUGAAUAAAUAAUUCACAAAGUGCCUUAUUGUUGCAUUGUUAUGACAGCUUUAGAUGUUUACUCCGCUGCCUGAGUUAAAAUAUGGGGCAGUGCACGAGAAUAAGUAGCUUUUUUUCUUAUUAUAGGCUGUUUUUCGGUUUUCUACGUGCAUCACCACGACGCUGGAAAACACCAGCAGCAGCCACACACAAGAGUACAGUCUAUUCCAGAUGUAUUGCUUAAUCAGAAUCGACUUCAGUGGAUAUUACAAUUCCAAAAUAGCUUUCUAUCGGAUAGAGAGCUUCAUUCUGUCUUGUGCAUAAGUCCAGAUAGGCUGAUCCGUAUUCCACACAGUUGUAUGUCCUCAGUGGCAGACAAUAGUUUUCCAUUAGGGGAAGUGAUUCUCUCCGGAGCCUCGGGCCAAGCCUCAGACAAUAACACGGCGACCUAAAGCUUGCAUCUCAGGCUCCCGGAGUCGACUCUCAUCACCUCUGGGUGCUGAUUCCCCCUCUGAGGUGGCUUAGCACGACAGGCUUAUCUGAAGUGAGCUUGUCCGAGUUAAUAAAGUAAGAGCAGCUUAUUUGAUUAUGAAUGCAUACAAAGGAGGAUCUUGUGAUCUGUCACUGGGAGACAAGUCCAUUUCAACACGGGAGGACAGAUCGAUGGGUACAGGGACCACUGGAGGUGUUUUAAAAAGGCGUUGGAGGAUAUGGAGCAAAAUUAAAAUAGCUUA